AUGUAUUAGCAAUAGCUAAUUGCAUCAAUGUUGAAUAAUUGAUGUAAUAUCGACUAUGUCGAAUAAAAUUCUAGGUAGAAUUAUGAUAAUGACAUUGUCUGCCUAUGUGUCUUGACCAAAUUACGUGCCAGCAGUCGCGGUAAUACGUAGAAGACUAGUGUUAUUCAUCUUUAAUAGGUUUAAAGGGUACCUAGACGGUAAAUCAAGCCUGCAACAAGGGACUGAUGUACUAGAGUUACUUACGAGGGGGUAUUAAAGUACUGCUGGUGUAGAGAUGAAAUUCUGUCAUACCUCAUUUUUAAUUAAAUACUAUGGCACAGGUAUAGGCGAAAGCAUCCCCUUAUGUGAUAACUGACGUUGAAGGACGAAGGCUUUGUGUAGCGAACAGGAUUAGAUACCCCAGUAGUCAAAGCAGAAAAUGAUGAAUGUCAAAGAUUAGACAUAUAAUAGUUUAUUCUAUAAAUGAAAGUGUAAGCAUUCCACCUCAAGAGUAAUUUGGCAACAUUGGAACUGAAAUCAUUAGACCGUUUCUGAAACCAGUAGUGAAGUAUGUUGUUUAAUUUGAUAAUACGCAAAAAACCUUACCACAAUUUGAAUAUUUAGACUUUUAAUUCCUUUUCUUUUUUUGUUUUUAUGUUAGGUUGCGUUGCGUUGUGUUGUGUUGCGUUGCAAAACAUCAGCAUAAAAAUGAAAUUAACAAGAAGGGAAGAGAAAUAUAUUUACAAGCGUUGCACGGCUAUUUUCAGUUAAUGUCGUGAGAUUCUGGUUAGUUCCAUUAAUUAACGUAAACCCUUACUUUAUUUUUAUAUAGAGUUGUUCCCCGCUAUAUUGGAUAAGAUAACAGGGACUAAAGAAGUCAUCAUGACCUAAAUAUUGUGGCUAUUAGACGUUGCCCACCAAUA
rnacentral:rRNA from 1 species